AUGACUGAAACUUUCUAUUUCUAUGGAAUAUGUUUGUUUGAGAUUAUCUGGUCAUAUUUACAUGCACAUGAACUUCUCGUGACAUUUAGGAAAGCAGUGUCCUGGGGGAACGAGGGCUUGUUGAUGUCCGCACAAAGGAAAGUGAGAAAGGAGUUAUAUUCUGAUGGAAAGGCGGAACAGAGCGUUACAGUUAAUGACGGUCUGUUGAUGCAUUCUGCAGAAAUCCGUGGCACCAGAGGCUGGUGUUGGUGUGCUUGUAAAUGUGAAACACAGGGUUUAUUAUCUGCAGUUUCACCGCCUGCAGCCACUGCCGCCCCACCAACACGGAAAAAAGGCCUCCAACCAACUGCCAUUUCCCACAAUCCAACAGAGCAGAGGAGCUGUGCGCAAAAUAAAAGGCAAAUUAACGAGUAAAAGGAGAGAACAGGAAAGCCCCUGUGCGAGGCUGAAGAGCAGCAGUGCAGUGAGUGUCUGUCUGCUGGACAUCAUGCAGUGCCAACUAUGCAACGUGUGCUUGUGUGUGAACCGCUGGCAGAUGUGCAUCGAUACGACUCGUGUACAGAGAGAGUUUAAUCCACAGAGUAACGCUUCAUUAAAAACAAACGCUAUUAUGUCUGCAGCCAGUUUCUGAUAAAAUGUAUGUAAAGGAUUUUUUAAAUAAAUUAUAUUUUUAAUCAACGCACCAAUUGACUUUGUGUCUUUUUUUAUUUAUUAUUAUUUGACCUUCCUAGAGAUUCCUUAAAUGAUUUGUUUGUUUGUUUGUUUUUUAAACACUUUAACCUUGAGCAAUUAUAAACAUGACUAUCUUCACAAACAUUUACCAUGGCAACAAAAACAUGGUAAAAAAAAUUAUUUUAUGAAUUUUUCUAAAAGUGCUGUUAGAAAAGGCAUGCUGUUUGUGUCAUUGGCCAAUUCAGGAAAUGAAAUUAUAUAUAUAUAUAUAUAUAUACAUAUAUAUAAAUGAAGGUGUUUUUUUAUGUUCUAUGUAACAUUUUUAUUCAUUCAGAAAACACCAUAACAAGAAAGGUUUUACUUGACCGUAAUGGUCAACUAAAAAGCAACACAGAAAUCAUUCUCAUUAGAACAUUUAUUCAAGUACAUUGAAGCUUCACUCACAUUUUCAUCUAUUUACAAAAUAAAUAAGGCACAGUCCACCAAAAAAGGUGGGAAACGUGUUAUAAGUUGUUGACUGACUGACAACACAAAUCUGCAACGAAUCCAAAACCGUGGUCCUGUUGGAGCUGAACAGACUGUGGAAAGAGAAAGCUGGCGGUCCUCGGAGGAGAGUCAUGUGAUCUGUCCAGUGUUCACAGGUGCUCGUGUUACGCAGCAGGACCGGCUGGAUCACAUGAGAUCUCGGGCGUCCUCUGCUGCGGUCGGGUCGUUUGCAGGAGGCUCUGGCGUGAGUUCAGGGUCAGUG
rnacentral:lncRNA from 1 species